GUAAAACAAAACCCCUUGGGAGGGGGGAGUAUGCUGGGGAAAGAAAGGAGAUGGGGCAGCAGCAGGAGGACCAGAAUCUUCUUUGGGGUAAAAUACAGAAACUGUGAUCAGAGGAGAUCAGCCUGUUGGCUUGGGCUGCACCCAGUGGGCACCUGUCUGCAAUGUGGAUGAGGGAGGCUGCAGGGGGCUGGGCCAGUGAGGAGUCAAGUUCAGCAUGAAGAAGGAAGGUGUCGGUGCCUGAAGAUGUCUUGGAUGUAGCAUUUACCUAUAAGUGGGAAGAACGAUCAGAGUCAUCUGCAAGGUCAUGCUGGAAGAAUCCCUGGACAUUAUAUAUAAAAUAUAUGAAAGAAGACUCUUAAAGAUGGAGAGAAGAAAAUAGACCUGCUAGGGGCCUCAGGACACAAGGAACAACAUGGUGGAAUAAAGGAGUUCCAGAAAAUAGCUAUAAAGAAUGUUAGGAGGCUCUGUGCUGCCAGCUUCAUUUCCCGGGAUAAAGCUGAUGAAAUUAUCUGUGAUUCUGACAGCUUUUCAGGGGCCGCCCCAUGACCUAGUGGUUAAGUUUGCAGCUCUGCUUUGGCAGCCCAGGGUUUCACUGAUUCAGAUCCUGGGCACGGAUAUGGCACCACUCAUCAAGCCAUGCUGAAGCAGCGUCCCACAUAGCACAACCAGAAGGACCUACAACUAGAAUGUACAACUAUGUACUGGGGGGCUUUGGGGAGAAGAAGAGGGGAAAAAAAAGGAAGAUUGGCGGCAGA
rnacentral:lncRNA from 1 species